AUUUUAUAUCUCGUCUCUACAGUGACUUCUGGUGCUUGAAAAGAAUCAAGUAUGGUAUAAACCUCUCUUGAAUGAAUCUCAACAAUCUUAUCAUUAUUCCCUAAUCCAAUAGAUGUAAUCAAUUCCAUUGAAUCUUCCAGUCCAUUUUCUUCAUAAACACCUAAAAUCCUCUCAUCAUCUUGCAAUGUACCUAACUUGUGUAAUUCUCUUUCAAUAUUAUAUAAUCUUUUUUUUUCUUCUCCUUUAAAAUCAUCAUUUU
rnacentral:lncRNA from 1 species